rnacentral:tRNA from 3 species
GGGUGAGUGGUGAAACCAGGUAAACACGCCAGAUUGAGGUUCUGGUGCCGCAAGGCUUGGAGGUUCAAAUCCUCUCUCACCCACCA